GACGAACGCUGGCGGCGUGCCUAAUACAUGCAAGUAGAACGCAGUUGCGAACGGGUGAGUAACGCGUAGGUAACUGCCUCAUAGCGGGGGGUAACUAUUGGAAACGAUAGCUAAUACCGCAUUCUGUGAGCUAGACCUGCGUUGUAUUAGCUAGUUGGUGAGGUAAAGGCUUACCAAGGCGACGAUACAUAGCCGACCUGAGAGGGUUGUCGGCCACACGGGGACUGAGACACGGCCCAGACGCCUAAGGGAGGCAGCAGGAGGGAAACAUCGGCAAUGGACGGAAGUCUGAACGAGGAACGCCGCGGGAGUGAAGAAGGGUUUCGGAUCGUAAAGCUAUGUUGUUAGAGAAGCGGUAACUACCCAGAAAGGGACGGCUAACUACGUGCCAGCAGCCGCGGUAAUAC
rnacentral:rRNA from 1 species